GCAGUCGAGGGGCAGCGGGGAGCAAGCUUGCUUGCUCUGCCGGCGACCGGCGCACGGGUGAGUAACACGUAUGCAACCUGCCCUCCGCAGGGGGAUAACCCGGAGAAAUCCGGACUAAUACCGCGUGGUACAUCUGUGGGGCAUCCCACGGGUGUUAAAAGGAAGCGAUUCCGGCGGAGGAUGGGCAUGCGGCGCAUUAGCUUGUUGGCGGGGUAACGGCCCACCAAGGCGACGAUGCGUAGGGGUUCUGAGAGGAAGGUCCCCCACACUGGUACUGAGACACGGACCAGACUCCUACGGGAGGCAGCAGUGAGGAAUAUUGGUCAAUGGGCGGGAGCCUGAACCAGCCAAGUCGCGUGAGGGAAGACGGUCCUAUGGAUUGUAAACCUCUUUAGGCGGGGAGCAAUGCCGGGCACGCGUGCCCGGAGGGAGAGUACCCGCAGAAUAAGCAUCGGCUAACUCCGUGCCAGCAGCCGCGGUAAUACGGAGGAUGCGAGCGUUAUCCGGAUUUAUUGGGUUUAAAGGGUGCGUAGGCGGAUUUUUAAGUCAGCGGUAAAAUGUCCGGGCUCAACCCGGGCCGGCCGUUGAAACUGGGGAUCUUGAGUGGGCGAGAAGUAUGCGGAAUGCGUGGUGUAGCGGUGAAAUGCAUAGAUAUCACGCAGAACUCCGAUUGCGAAGGCAGCAUACCGGCGCCCGACUGACGCUGAGGCACGAAAGCGUGGGGAUCGAACAGGAUUAGAUACCCUGGUAGUCCACGCAGUAAACGAUGAAUGCUAGUUGUCCGGUUCUUUGGGACUGGGUGAC
rnacentral:rRNA from 1 species